AUUGAACGCUGGCGGCAGGCCUAACACAUGCAAGUCGAGCGGAUGAAGGGAGCUUGCUCCUGGAUUCAGCGGCGGACGGGUGAGUAAUGCCUAGGAAUCUGCCUGGUAGUGGGGGAUAACGUCCGGAAACGGGCGCUAAUACCGCAUACGUCCUGAGGGAGAAAGUGGGGGAUCUUCGGACCUCACGCUAUCAGAUGAGCCUAGGUCGGAUUAGCUAGUUGGUGGGGUAAAGGCCUACCAAGGCGACGAUCCGUAACUGGUCUGAGAGGAUGAUCAGUCACACUGGAACUGAGACACGGUCCAGACUCCUACGGGAGGCAGCAGUGGGGAAUAUUGGACAAUGGGCGGAAACCUGAUCCAGCCAUGCCGCGUGUGUGAAGAAGGUCUUCGGAUUGUAAAGCACUUUAAGUUGGGAGGAAGGGCAGUAAGUUAAUACCUUGCUGUUUUGACGUUACCAACAGAAUAAGCACCGGCUAACUUCGUG
rnacentral:rRNA from 1 species